rnacentral:lncRNA from 1 species
AGAGUUCAUUUCUUCAACAAUUUGAGCCAAGACCUGACGUCUCUAUUUAUCAUAAUGAUAUUGGUCUCAAAACAAGAAUAUCACUAGAAUAUCACUAGAUGAAAGCCCAUUUGUUAAAGAGUUUGAGCCGAGACCUGAUGUCUCCAUUUACCAUAACGAUAUUGGUCUCAAAACAAAAAUAUCACUAGAUGAGAGCCCAUUUGGUAAAGAGUUCGAGUUGAAACCUGAUGUCUCCAUUUACCAUAACCAUAUUGGUCUCAAAACAGAAAAACUGCCAAAUAAGAAUCCAUUUGUUAAAGAGUUUGAGCCGAGACCUGAUGUCUCCAUUUACCAUAAUGAUAUUGGUCUCAAAACAGAAAAGUUGCUAAAUAAGAACCCAUUUGUUAAAGAGUUUGAGCCCAGACCGAAUGUCUCCAUUUACCACAAUAAUAUUGGUCUCAAAAC